UACAGAGGUUUCAAGCGUUGUUCGGAUUCAUUGGGCGUAAAGGGUGCGUAGGCGGCGCGGUAAGUCGGGUGUGAAAUCUCGGGGCUUAACUCCGAAACUGCAUUCGAUACUGCCGUGCUUGAGGACUGGAGAGGAGACUGGAAUUUACGGUGUAGCGGUGAAAUGCGUAGAUAUCUGCAGGAACACCCGUGGCGAAAGCGGCGCGCUGGACCACAACUGACGCUGAGGAACGAAAGCUAGGGGAGCAAACAGG
rnacentral:rRNA from 1 species